GCUGGCGAUGACGACACCUUGCCCUCACCAAGAACAGCGUUCGCUGACGAGAGCAGCUCGAUGCGCUCAAGGGAACUGAGCCAGA
rnacentral:snoRNA from 1 species